rnacentral:rRNA from 1 species
AUUGAACGCUGGCGGCAUGCUUUACACAUGCAAGUCGAACGGCAGCGCGGGCUUCGGCCUGGCGGCGAGUGGCGAACGGGUGAGUAAUGCAUCGGAACGUGCCCAGUAGUGGGGGAUAGCCCGGCGAAAGCCGGCUUAAUACCGCAUACGACCUGAGGGUGAAAGCGGGGGACCGAAAGGCCUCGCGCUAUUGGCGCGGCCGAUGUCGGAUUAGCUAGUUGGUGGGGUAAAGGCUUACCAAGGCGACGAUCCGUAGCUGGUCUGAGAGGACGACCAGCCACACUGGGACUGAGACACGGCCCAGACUCCUACGGGAGGCAGCAGUGGGGAAUUUUGGACAAUGGGGGCAAGCCUGAUCCAGCCAUGCCGCGUGCGGGAAGAAGGCCUUCGGGUUGUAAAACGCUUUUGUUCGGGAAGAAAUCCUCUGGGCUAAUACCCCGGGGGGAUGACGGUACCGGAAGAAUAAGCACCGGCUAACUACGUG